UGGGGAAUUUUUGGACAAUGGGCGAAAGCCUGAUCCAGCAAUGCCGCGUGCGUGAAGAAGGCCUUCGGGUUGUAAAGCACUUUUGUCCGGAAAGAAAUCCUUGGCUCUAAUACAGUCGGGGGAUGACGGUACCGGAAGAAUAAGCACCGGCUAACUACGUGCCAGCAGCCGCGGUAAUACGUAGGGUGCAAGCGUUAAUCGGAAUUACUGGGCGUAAAGCGUGCGCAGGCGGUUUGCUAAGACCGAUGUGAAAUCCCCGGGCUAACCUGGGAACUGCAUUGGUGACUGGCAGGCUAGAGUAUGGCAGAGGGGGGUAGAAUUCCACGUGUAGCAGUGAAAAUGCGUAGAGAUGUGGAGGAAUACCGAUGGCGAAGGCAGCCCCCCUGGGCCAAUACUGACGCUCAUGCACGAAAAGCGUGGGGAGCAAAACAGGAUUAGAUACCCUGGUAGUCCCACGCCCUAAACGAUGUCAACUAGUUGUUGGGGGAUUCAUUUCCUUAGUAACGUAGCUAACGCGUGAAGUUGACCGCCUGGGGAGUACGGUCGCAAGAUU
rnacentral:rRNA from 1 species